GACGAACGCUGGCGGCGUGCUUAACACGUGCAAGUCGAACGGAAAGGCCCUGCUUUUGUGGGGUGCUCGAGUGGCGAACGGGUGAGUAACACGUGAGUAACCUGCCCUUGACUUUGGGAUAACUUCAGGAAACUGGGGCUAAUACCGGAUAGGAGCUCCUGCUGCAUGGUGGGGGUUGGAAAGUUUCGGCGGUUGGGGGUGGACUCGCGGCUUAUCAGCUUGUUGGUGGGGUAGUGGCUUACCAAGGCUUUGACGGGUAGCCGGCCUGAGAGGGUGACCGGCCACAUUGGGACUGAGAUACGGCCCAGACUCCUACGGGAGGCAGCAGUGGGGAAUAUUGCACAAUGGGCGGAAGCCUGAUGCAGCAACGCCGCGUGCGGGAUGACGGCCUUCGGGUUGUAAACCGCUUUCGCCUGUGACGAAGCGUGAGUGACGGUAAUGGGUAAAGAAGCACCGGCUAACUACGUG
rnacentral:rRNA from 1 species